GUUUAAGGCAUCAGGCAAUUCAGAAGGAACAGAUUUUGGAGUGUUGGUUUCUGAGAUAGGUUCUUUGAGUUUUGAGAGCUCCAACUUGCACUGGCGGUACAAUCUGAUGGCUAACCGAGUACUGCUGCUGUUGGCUAUGGCUUCCAGAAAUGAUCCUAACUCGUCCUCCAAAAUUCUGAGUGAAACUGCUGGUCACUUCUUACAGAGUUUAAAAAGCCAACUACCACAGACAAGAAUUUUGGCAAUCUCAGCUCUAAAUACUUUACUGAAAGAAUCGCCUUAUAAGCUCUCUGAGGACCGAC
rnacentral:misc_RNA from 1 species